AACCCUAUCACAGUUCUCCUAUUACUGUUGGGAUUAUUGCCUUAUUACCAUCCAUACAGUCAAUAAUUUAUUAACCGAUUUUUCAGGAUUUCAAUUUCUUGGAAUUGGAUUAGAAGAAGUGAAUGACUUCCAAAUUUCAUUCAACCACCAUCAGAGGAACCAAAUUCAACUCAGGUUUGAAAUAUCUUUUGAGGAUGACCUUGGCCCUCAUUUAUAGAUAUUGGACGUGCCUAACCACCCGCCUAAAGAGGAAAAGAUGGUUGAGAAGUGAGCGGAACUUCAUCCUUAGAUCUUAAUAAGUCUGUUAGGAUUGUGACUGUCCAAAUCGCUGAUGCUUAACUUGGUUACGACAUGGAAGUGAGCGGACUUCAUCCUUAGAUCUUAGUAAGUCUGUUGGGGUUGUGACUGUCCAAACCGUUGAUGCUUAACUUGGUUUACGACAUGGUCUGCAAAGUCAGAUGGUACGUCUAUCGUGAUGUUGUGUCAUGUCACGCUUUACUAGCUGGGCUUAACCGGUAGUGCAGGAAUCUUAGUCUCUACACUUGAUGCCUUACACUGCCUCAAUCUGACUUCUUAAAUGUGGCAAAUAUGUUCUAUGCAAACUUUAGAUGAUUUGAAUGGUAUGUGUUGAUCAUUGUAGUCCCUUUUCAACUUGAAGACUCAGAUAUUGAUCUCCUACUCCAUGUAACAAUAUCUAGCCAUGACAUGAAACCUAAGGAUUGAGUCAACGAGAUGAUUGCGCAGAAAAUCUGAAAUGCACAAUCUAACAGUGGACAGAUUUUGCAUUUUCCUGUUCUAUCAGAGGGCGACGUCACUAGAUCCUUCACAGCAUAAAUUAC
rnacentral:lncRNA from 1 species